UAUCAGCAACGUAAACGCGAAUAAUUCUAUUUGCCGACAUAAUCCAUUUAGAGAUAAAAUCCUAAGUGUCUACUUCGGUUUUCCACAUAUGUACUAGAUGUAUAAAAGCGCACCAACAAUGUUUAAUUUUCGCCUAAAUUAGGCCUUGAACGGUUGUCAUACUUAAUUUUUUUAUUGUGGUCGUUCAUUGGGUUUUAUUUGGUUAAGUAAGGAAGUUUUCGUAAAAAUAAGCAUUAGAUGUUAAUUUUGUUUAUUGGCAAGUGGUUUCAUUGGAAAAGUAUCUACAUAUAAAGUGUUUGUUACUUUACUUUGUUUUUAUUCGGAUCAACUUUUGUACAACUUACAUUAGAGAAAAUGUAUAUUGUGUGGGUGCCACUAAUGGGAUUGAGCCUUAUGUUGGGAAUAACUGCAUUUACCAGAAUAAGGUCUCAUACAGAAAUACACGAUGCAGAAAAAUUUUCUGAAAUGCUGAGGAAAAAGUUUAAGGGGCACGAAAAAUCACUAUCAUCGAAAUGAGUUAUUUAACCAUAUUGUAAAAUUGCUAGAUACGCUGACUCUGUUAAACUGCAUGUGCUCGACUGAAAAUCCGCUGUGAAUAGACCCGUCUUAAAUUAACUGGAAUUAUUUAGAACACUUGUACAACUGCCUGAUAGUAGCUUCUGUGAUAAUAAAAUAUGCAAUAUAUACUUUAUUGUUCUA